CUCAGAUCGUAACCGCCAUUAACUGAUGCUGGCGUUUCAAGUUUAUUUCGCUUUUGCGGCUCCUUCUUCUUUGUUUCGUGGCUUGUUUUGGUUUCGAACCGGGUUGUGCUGGUGACUGUGAUAUCGGAAGCUGACUCAGAGAUUAUCGCCGCUGCUAGCAAGUCCAGUGUGUGCGGUUUAUGAGUGAUUCGGAGAAAGCGCAGGACAGAGAGCGAUGCGUGAAAGAAAGGCAGAUGUUGAGCAAAGGGCGAGCCUGUACACAGAUGUAACGUAAGUUUUCUCUUAGCUGUUCGAAUUGAUCUUUUGCUUUGUUUGUGUUCACUUUUAUGCAGGCGUAGUCGCAAAGAAAGAAGACAGCCUGGAUGCCGAAACGACGUGGUUUCCCGCGAGGUUCUUGUGCAUUUCAACAAUUAGAACGGUCAGUUAACAGUCUUUAUUGUUCACAAGAGAGUAUGGAAAAAUGUAGCAGUGCUAAUCAAAUGUA